AGAGUUUGAUCAUGGCUCAGAUUGAACGCUGGCGGCGUGCCUAACACAUGCAAGUCGAGCGGUAACAGGUGUAGCAAUACAUGCUGACGAGCGGCGAACGGGUGAGUAAUGCUUUGGAAUCUUCCCAGUAGUGGGGAAUAACCAGUCGAAAGAUUGGCUAAUACCGCAUACGUCUGUAAAGGGAAAGCGGGGGCUCGUAAGACCUCGCGCUAUUGGAUGAGCCAAAGUCGGAUUAGCUAGUUGGUGGGGUAAUGGCCUACCAAGGCGACAAUCCGUAGCUGGUCUGAGAGGACGACCAGCCACACCGGAACUGAGACACGGUCCGGACUCCUACGGGAGGCAGCAGUGGGGAAUAUUGGACAAUGGGGGAAACCCUGAUCCAGCGACGCCGCGUGUGUGAAGAAGGCCUGCGGGUUGUAAAGCACUUUUAGUGGGGACAAAAAGCUACGGACUAAUACUCUGUGGUCUUGAUUUAACCCAAAGAAAAAGCACCGGCUAACUCUGUGCCAGCAGCCGCGGUAAUACAGAGGGUGCGAGCGUUAAUCGGAAUUACUGGGCGUAAAGCGCGCGUAGACGGUUUUGUAAGUCAGAUGUGAAAUCCCUGGGCUCAACCUGGGAACUGCAUUUGAGACUGCAUGGCUAGAGUAUCGAAGAGGGAAGUGGAAUUUCCGGUGUAGCGGUGAAAUGCGUAGAUAUCGGAAGGAACACCAGUGGCGAAAGCGACUUCCUGGUCGAAUACUGACGUUCAUGUGCGAAAGCGUGGGGAGCAAACAGGAUUAGAUACCCUAGUAGUCC
rnacentral:rRNA from 1 species